rnacentral:rRNA from 1 species
GUGAGGUGUUGGGUUAAGUCCCGCAACGAGCGCAACCCNUAUGUCUAGUUGCCAGCAUGUAAUGGUGGGGACUCUAAACAGACUGCCUAUGCAAAUAGAGAGGAAGGAGGGGACGACGUCAAGUCAUCAUGGCCCUUACGUCCGGGGCUACACACGUGCUACAAUGGAUGAUACAGAGGGCAGCUACCUGGCAACAGGAUGCCAAUCUCACAAAGUCAUUCACAGUUCGGAUUGGGGUCUGCAACUCGACCCCAUGAAGUUGGAUUCGCUAGUAAUCGCUGAUCAGCAAUGCUGCGGUGAAUACGUUCCCGGGCCUUGUACACACCGCCCGUCAAGCCAUGGAAGCUGGGGGUGCCUGAAGUCGGUAACCGCAAGGAGCCGCCUAGGG